rnacentral:tRNA from 1 species
GGGGGGUAGCUCAGCUGGGAGAGCGCCGCGUUCGCAAUGCGGAGGUCGUGAGUUCGAUCCUCAUCCUCUCCACCA